rnacentral:rRNA from 1 species
UGCCAGCAGCCGCGGUAAUACGUAGGGCGCGAGCGUUGUCCGGAAUUAUUGGGCGUAAAGAGCUCGUAGGCGGCUGGUCGCGUCUGUCGUGAAAUCCUCUGGCUUAACUGGGGGCUUGCGGUGGGUACGGGCCGGCUUGAGUGCGGUAGGGGAGACUGGAACUCCUGGUGUAGCGGUGGAAUGCGCAGAUAUCAGGAAGAACACCGGUGGCGAAGGCGGGUCUCUGGGCCGUUACUGACGCUGAGGAGCGAAAGCGUGGGGAGCGAACAGGAUUAGAUACCCUGGUAGUCCACGCCGUAAACGUUGGGCACUAGGUGUGGGGGGCCUUUUCCGGGUCUUCCGCGCCGUAGCUAACGCAUUAAGUGCCCCGCCUGGGGAGUACGGCCACAAGGCUAAAACUCAAAUGAAUUGACGGGGGCCCGCACAAG